rnacentral:rRNA from 1 species
AUGAACGCUGGCGGCAUGCCUAACACAUGCAAGUCGAACGAAGGCUUCGGCCUUAGUGGCGCACGGGUGCGUAACGCGUGGGAAUCUGCCCUUGGGUUCGGAAUAACAGUUAGAAAUGACUGCUAAUACCGGAUGAUGUCGUAAGACCAAAGAUUUAUCGCCCAAGGAUGAGCCCGCGUAGGAUUAGCUAGUUGGUGGGGUAAAGGCCUACCAAGGCGACGAUCCUUAGCUGGUCUGAGAGGAUGAUCAGCCACACUGGGACUGAGACACGGCCCAGACUCCUACGGGAGGCAGCAGUGGGGAAUAUUGGACAAUGGGCGGAAGCCUGAUCCAGCAAUGCCGCGUGAGUGAUGAAGGCCUUAGGGUUGUAAAGCUCUUUUACCCGGGAUGAUAAUGACAGUACCGGGAGAAUAAGCUCCGGCUAACUUCGUG